AUUGCACGUCUAAGCAGUAAGGCUGAGUAUUAGGCAAAUCCGGUACUCGUUAAGGCUGAGCUGUGAUGGGGAGAAGACAUUGUGUCUUCGAGUCGUUGAUUUCACACUGCCGAGAAAAGCCUCUAGAUAGAAAAUAGGUGCCCGUACCGCAAACCGACACAGGUAGUCAAGAUGAGAAUUCUAAGGUGAGCGAGCGAACUCUCGUUAAGGAACUCGGCAAAAUGACCCCGUAACUUCGGGAGAAGGGGUGCUCUUUAGGGUUAACGCCCAGAAGAGCCGCAGUGAAUAGGCCCAAGCGACUGUUUAUCAAAAACACAGGUCUCUGCUAAACCGUAAGGUGAUGUAUAGGGGCUGACGCCUGCCCGGUGCUGGAAGGUUAAGAGGAGUGGUUAGCUUCUGCGAAGCUACGAAUCGAAGCCCCAGUAAACGGCGGCCGUAACUAUAACGGUCCUAAGGUAGCGAAAUUCCUUGUCGGGUAAGUUCCGACCCGCACGAAAGGCGUAACGAUUUGGGCACUGUCUCAACGAGA
rnacentral:rRNA from 1 species